GUCAAUGUGGAGGCUAUAUACAGGGGAUACCGGUACAGAGUCAAUGUGGAGGCUAUAUACAGGGGGUACCGGUACAGAGUCAAUGUGGAGGCUAUAUACAGGGGGGUACCGGUACAGAGUCAAUGUGGAGGCUAUAUACAGGGGGGUACCGGUACAGAGUCAAUGUGGAGGCUAUAUACAGGGGGGUACCAGUACAGAGUCAAUGUGGAGACUAUAUACAGGGGGGUACCGGUACAGAGUCAAUGUGGAGGCUAUAUACAGGGGGUACCGGUACAGAGUCAAUGUGGAGGCUAUAUACAGGGGGGUACCAGUACAGAGUCAAUGUGGAGGCUUUAUACCAGGGGGUACCGAUAAGUCAAUGUGGAGACUACAUACGGGGUGUUACGGUACAGAGUCAAUGUGGAGGCUAUAUACAGGGGGUACCGAUAAGUCAAUGUGGAGGCUAUAUACAGGGUGUUACGGUACAGAGUCAAUGUGGAGGCUAUAUACAGGGGGGUACCGGUACAGAGUCAAUGUGGAGGCUCUAUACAGGGGGGUACCGGUACAGAGUCAAUGUGGAGGCUAUAUACCAGGGGUACCGGUACAGAGUCAAUGUGGAGUAUAGAUACAGUGGGGUGCCAUUACAGAGUCAAUGUGGAGACUAUAUACAGGGUGUAACGUUACAGAGUCAAUGUGGAGGCUAUAUACAGGGGUGUACCAGUACAGAGUCAAUGUGGAGGCUGUAUACAGGGGGUACCGGUCCAGAGUCAAUGUGGAGGCUAUAUACAGGGGGGUACCGGUACAGAGUCAAUGUGGAGGCUAUAUACAGGGGGUACCGAUAAGUCAAUGUGGAGGCUAUAUACAGGGUGUUACGGUACAGAGUCAAUGUGGAGGCUAUAUACAGGGGGGUACCGGUACAGAGUAAAUGUGGAGGCUCUAUACAGGGGGGUACCGGUACAGAGUCAAUGUGGAGGCUAUAUACCAGGGGUACCGGUACAGAGUCA
rnacentral:lncRNA from 1 species